GGGUCCCGUGUGCACCCCCCCAGGCCCCGGGGAGGCUGUGUCCGCGGGGCCAGCCAGGGGGCAGCCGGGCAGUCAGGCAAGAGGCACUGUCCCCGGCCCGUCCUGCCAUCACACGGGGUAAACCCCGAGGCCCUGGUGUCUCUUCAGCUGCAGAGACACGAACUGGCAGAAGCACAGGCCCAGCUGGAGGUGGCCCUGAGCCCCCUGGACGUCCUCAGAGGCGGGGAAGUACGCGUGGGCCACGCAGCAGGCGUAGCUGGAGGAGAACCGCAGCAUGGCCUCCCGGAACAGCGCCUCGCCCUCCGCGCACUCCAGAAAGACCUGCCUGCACUCCUCCAGGAGCACGUACACGAAGUGCAGCUUGUUCAUGGUGUCACAGCCCACCAGCACGGAGUGGGGCGCCAGCAGGAGGUUGGCCUCGCCCGCUCUGAGGACCAGCUCCCGCAUCUUCCUCCUGGAGAACCUCCGGAACCAGCAGAAGGUGUUCACCGCCAGGACCAAGACGAGGGAGCAGAAAAACACCCCGCCCAAGAGGAGCAGGAAGCGCUGAGCCGGCGGGCUCGGCUGGAGCCCCAGGAUCAGGGUGAAGGACAGCAGCACCAAGGAGAUGAGAAUCAGGAAGAUGCCCAGCGGGACCCUGCAGCCCAGGUAGCGGAGGCAGGACCUGGGGGACUGUGCCCCGUUCAGGACGCCCAGGGCGCGCCGGUACACCUCGGGCUCCUCCAGCACCUCCUUCAGGGGGUCCGGGACACUCAGGGUGCUGAAGGUCCCCACCUGCCAAGACGACAGGCUGUCCUUGUUGAUGCAGUUGAGGGUGAGGAGGGCCUUCCCACUGUAGAGGGAGGCGGCCGGGCGCAGGGCCGGCACGGAGCGCGCCCCGCACAGGGUGGCCUGGCACAGGAGCCGCAGCACCUUGGGGUAGAAGCGGCUGUCGGUCGCCUCCAGGUAGGUCAGGUGGCUGAGGUGCAGCGGGACCCGGCAGGGCUUCAGCAGGAUGGGGAUGACGGCCUUCCUCUCCAGGCAGUAGCCGAACAGGGACAGGUCGGCCUCCAGGAGGCACCACCGGCUCUGCACGAAGUCCUGGCUCAGCAGCAGGAGCACCUUCUGGCUCUGCUGGAUGCACUCGGCCAUGUUCUCCAGGAUGUUCCUGCCGGGGACGAAGUCCCGCUCGUGCAGACACACCCGCAGCCCCGGGAGGUCCGCCUCCAGGCGGCCGAUGAGCGUGUGGGUCCACGCCGCGUCCCUGCUGCUGUAGCUCACGAACACGUGGAACUUCUCGCCGGGCCUCAGCGGGGGGAUGGCCAGGGCCCCCCCUUCCUCCUCGGGGCCGGGAUCCAUGGGCACCGCCUGGGAAUCCACCCCCGGGAAGCCGCCUCAGGUCUCCGGAGAAGGAAGCCGCCCUCAGGCUGUGAGACCCGAAGACAGACUCCCUCGGUGGGGACGCUGCGGAGGACUGGAGGACGAGAGGACCGCUGA
rnacentral:lncRNA from 1 species